AAGCCCCAGUAAACGGCGGCCGUGAGUAUAACGGUCAUAAGGUAGCGAAAUGGCUUGUCAGAUAAGUUCCGAACCGCACGAAAGGCGUGGCGAGUUGGGCACUGUCUCGACAACAGACUCGGUGAAAGUGUAAUUCCGGGGAAGAUGCCGGAUACCUGCGACAGGACGGAAAGACCCCAUGGAGCUUUACUGUAGCUUGACAUUGGGU
rnacentral:rRNA from 1 species